rnacentral:tRNA from 1 species
AAGAAAGACAUGAUGGUCAUGAAAUUGGCUUGAAACCAGUUGUAGGGGGUUCAAUUCCUUCCUUUCUNN